AGAGGCAAAAGAAAAAUACAGAUGAAUCUGAUUAUGGGAACGCCAGCCUCAAGCCCUGUCCUACCUGUGACACAUCCACAUCCAGCUCUCCUGUGUAUGAGAUACUGCAGCCUUAAGGAAACAUCACUAAGAGAAUCAUCACUGAGAAAUCAAACUUGCAGCUGUAUCCCAAUGCAGUCAGAAGAGUGAGAGAUAUAGAGGGGAAGAGAGAUGCAUGAUCACAUGUAGAGUACACAAGUAUUGUUUCCUUCAAAAGAAAAGCUUUUCAGUGUUUUACAUUAAUAAUUAAUGCAAAA